AAUGAACGCUGGCGGCGCGCCUAAUACAUGCAAGUCGAGCGAGAAGACGUAGCAAUACGUUUGUAAAGCGGCGAACGGGUGAGGAAUACAUGGGUAACCUACCCUCGAGUGGGGAAUGACUAGCCGAAAGGUUAGCUAAUACCGCGUACGCUCCUUGGACUUCGGUUCAGGGAGGGAAAGCGAUACCGUGGGUAUCGCGCUCUUGGUUGGGCUCAUGUCCUAUCAGCUUGUUGGUGAGGUAACGGCUCACCAAGGCUUCGACGGGUAGCUGGUCUGAGAGGACGGAUCAGCCACACUGGCACUGCGACACGGGCCAGACUCCUACGGGAGGCAGCAGUCGGGAAUUUUGGGCAAUGGGCGAAAGCCUGACCCAGCAACGCCGCGUGAAGGAUGAAGUAUUUCGGUACGUAAACUUCGAAAGAAUGGGAAGAAUCAAUGACGGUACCAUUUAUAAGGUCCGGCUAACUACGUGCCAGCCGCCGCA
rnacentral:rRNA from 1 species